GGUCUCGUAGCUCAAUUGGUUAGAGCGUUGGUCUUAUGAGUUAUAGGUUGUGAGUUCGAGCCACGUUGGGACCA
rfam:Ipomoea nil DNA, scaffold: scaffold2782, cultivar: Tokyo-kokei standard.